GAGACGCCUUAAGCCUUGGACAGAAAAAUAACACUUCCCCAAAAUCCAGUCCAGCCUGAAGCUGGAAAGCCUUGCUCUUAAAUGACAAAGCUCGCAGUGGGAAAACUGGAAAGAUUGAAUGUCCUUUGGAGUUCACAGAGGUUUGGCAGUGGGAGGAGAAAAACAAAACGAAGCAUAGUGGGAGUGUUGAACAGACUUUCCCAAGAUCCCCAGAUCCUGAAAUUCAAGAAAAUCUUUGUCAAAGUGUUAGCUGAGUGCAAGCUAAGGUAUCCAAAUAGUGAAUACACACACCAAGGAAUAAUCUUUGCAAAAAUACUUUGUCUCAAGGCAAAUAGAACACAAUAGACUUUAAUAAUCAAAACAGAAACACCAACAUAGAGAACCUAAGGAAUGAAGAGAAUCUGAUUUCCAAAGUCACCACGUUAUAAAAAUCAAAUGCCAAUCUUCAACAACAACAAAACAACAAAAUUCACAAGGCACACAAAGAAACAGGAAAAUGGCUCAUUCAAAGGAAUAAAAUGAUUAAUUGGCAUAAACUGUUCCUGAGAAAG
rnacentral:lncRNA from 1 species